AGGUGGAGCGAAUCUCCAAAAUUAGUCCCAGUUCAGAUUGCAGGCUGCAACUCGCCUGCAUGAAGUCGGAAUUGCUAGUAAUCGUGGAUCAGCAUGCCACGGUGAAUACGUUCCCGGGCCUUGUACACACCGCCCGUCACACCAUGGGAGUCGGUAACACCCGAAGCCUGUAGUCUAACCGCAAGGAGGACGCAGUCGAAGGUGGGAUUGAUGACUGGGGUGAAGUCGUAACAAGGUACC
rnacentral:rRNA from 1 species